rnacentral:rRNA from 1 species
UACAGAGGGGGCAAGCGUUGUUCGGAUUUACUGGGCGUAAAGGGCGCGUAGGCGGCAUGACAAGUCACUUGUGAAAUCUCCGGGCUUAACUCGGAACGGUCAAGUGAUACUGUCGCGCUAGAGUGCGGAAGGGGCAAUCAGAAUUCUUGGUGUAGCGGUGAAAUGCGUAGAUAUCAAGAGGAAUACCUGAGGUGAAGACGGGUUGCUAGGCCGACACUGACGCUGAAGCGCGAAAGCCAGGGGAGCAAACGGG